rnacentral:rRNA from 1 species
UAACCUGCCCAAGAGAUCGGGAUAACACCUGGAAACAGAUGCUAAUACCGGAUAACAACAGAUGAUGCCUAUCAACUGUUUAAAAGAUGGUUCUGCUAUCACUCUUGGAUGGACCUGCGGUGCAUUAGCUAGUUGGUAAGGUAACGGCCUACCAAGGCGAUGAUGCAUAGCCGAGUUGAGAGACUGAUCGGCCACAUUGGGACUGAGACACGGCCCAAACUCCUACGGGAGGCAGCAGAG